GGUGGGGACUCUACCCCCCUGUUUGAUGAGCGAUGAUCUGUGGGGGGCUGAUGUAUUGUACAGAACAGAUAUUUGUACAUUGUGUUAUAUUUAUGUGAAAUCAUGAAGUGAGUGAAAGAGAACUCUCCGCCAUGUUUUCUACAAGACCUCCCCUAUUGGAGGAGGAAUGGAUACUUGAGUCCUCGGGGGCGAUUAGUCAGCUCUUGUGGUGAUUAGUCAGCUCUUGUGGUGAGAAGUGCUUUGUGUGGGGAUUGUCAGGGAUUGAUCAUGACCUUGACCCAUGAGUGGGACAGCUGAUGACCUACUUUGUAGACCUUCCUUACAUGUUGUAGUAUUACUGUUUGUAAGAGCUAAUGUCCACAGGGAUUUUUUCUAAAUGCAGAACUUUCUACAGAAGCCAGGCUAGUCUGUAGCUCACAUUGUAUCACAUUUAUUGCAUUUUUCUUUUAUAACUGUGAAUGAAAACAGAUUUCAUAUGUGGUCAAAAAUAAAGAUAUAAA
rnacentral:misc_RNA from 1 species